UCCCGCCGCCCUUGCUGGGCGUUUCCUCCUUAGACUUUUCGGGCCGCGUUAAGCGGCCUUUUUUUUGUUUUGA
rnacentral:sRNA from 1 species